CCUACGGGUGGCAGCAGUGAGGAAUAUUGGUCAAUGGGCGCGAGCCUGAACCAGCCAAGUAGCGUGAGGGAAGACGGUCCUAUGGAUUGUAAACCUCUUUUGUCGGGGAGCAACAGACGCCACGCGUGGCGUUUCGAGAGUACCUGAUGAAAAAGCAUCGGCUAACUCCUUGCCAGCAGCCGCGGUAAUACGGAGGAUGCGAGCGUUAUCCGGAUUUAUUGGGUUUAAAGGGUGCGCAGGCGGAAGAUCAAGUCAGCGGUAAAAUUGUGAGGCUAAACCUCUUAGAGCCGUUGAAACUGGUUUUCUUGAGUGAGUGAGAGGUAUGCGGAAUGCGUGGUGUAGCGGUGAAAUGCAUAGAUAUCACGCAGAACUCCGAUUGCGAAGGCAGCAUACCAGCGCUCAACUGACGCUCAUGCACGAAAGUGUGGGUAUCGAACAGGAUUAGAUACCCCAGUAGUC
rnacentral:rRNA from 1 species